GACGAACGCUGGCGGCGUGGAUUAGGCAUGCAAGUCGAACGGUAUCAUCCUUUCGGGGGUGAGAGAGUGGCGAACUGGUGAGUAACACGUAGGUUAUCUACCCUCAAGACGGGGACAACCCAGGGAAACUUGGGCUAAUACCGGAUGUGAGCAACUUUUAGUUGUUUGAAAGGUGGCGUAAGCUGUCGCUUGGGGAUGAGCCUGCGUCCUAUUAGUUAGUUGGUGAGGUAACGGCUCACCUAGGCAAUGAUAGGUAGGCGGCCUUAACGGGUGGUCGCCCACACUGGGAUUGAGAUACGGCCCAGACUCCUACGGGAGGCAGCAGUCGAGAAUAGUCUACAAUGGUCGGAAGACUGAUAGUGCGACGCCGCGUGAACGAUGAAUCCCUUCGGGGUUAAAGUUCUUUUAUAUGUGAGCAGUGCUUCUUAUAUUAACAGUAUGGGGAAGAGAUAUUAGCAUAUGAAUAAGCAACGGCUAAACUCCGUGCCAGCAGCCGCGGUAAAA
rnacentral:rRNA from 1 species